UACGUAGGGGGCUAGCGUUGUCCGGAUUUAUUGGGCGUAAAGAGCGUGUAGGCGGCUUGGCAAGUCUGCUGUGAAAACUCGAGGCUCAACCUCGAGCUGUCGGUGGAAACUGCUUGGCUAGAGUCCGGAAGUGGAGAGUGGAAUUCCUGGUGUAGCGGUGAAAUGCGCAGAUAUCAGGAAGAACACCUAUGGCGAAGGCAGCUCUCUGGGACGGUACUGACGCUGAGACGCGAAAGCGUGGGGAGCGAACAGG
rnacentral:rRNA from 1 species